AAGCAAGAACCAGAGGCCUCUCCUUCAGUUCUUCAACCUUCCAUUCAGUACUGGAGGAGAAUAGAGGCUGCUAUCUGACAUGCUUCUUAAUUUACCAUUUGGUUAUUGUCUCUGAGCAACAACAUGGCCACGCCCAACAUCAACGACUGAGGAGCAGAGGAGCAGAAUCUUCCCACUGCCGGCUCUGGUGAGAACCCGCAACACCGCACAGAAAAAGACGUGAUGCACCCACCGUCCAAGCUUUUAUACUAAUCAAUUCCCAGCACUUAGUUUGUAUAUCCGAAGAAAAUUUAAUUCUGCCUAUUUUUGAUCUUAACAUAAAGAGAUAAAAUGGUAUGUACUCUUUCUUUUAUGUCUGGCUUCUAUUUCUCGAAAUUGUUUUUAAGAUUCAUCC
rnacentral:lncRNA from 1 species